GGGCCGGUAGCUCAGCUGGAAGAGCGCCCGCUUGGCGUGCGGGAGGCCCCGGGUUCGAGUCCCGGCCGGUCCACCA
rnacentral:tRNA from 1 species